AGUCUGGUGCCAGCAGCCGCGGUAAUUCCAGCUCCAAUAGCGUAUAUUAAAGUUGCUGCAGUUAAAAAGCUCGUAGUUGAAUUUCUGGUACGAUGUGCCUGGUCCACGGUCGCAAGGCCGCGCGUAUCGGAGUACGUCUGCCAUCCUUCUAGUUAACUGGCUAUACUUAACUGUGUGGUCAGCAACCUAGAUCUUUUACUUUGAAAAAAAUUAGAGUGUUUAAAGCAGGCUCGCGCUGUGAAUACAUUAGCAUGGAAUAAUAAUUUAGGACUUUGCUUCUAUUUUAUUGGUUUCUAGGGGUAAAGUAAUGAUUGAUAGGGAUAGUUGGGGGUGCUAGUAUUCAUCGGCCAGAGGUGAAAUUCUUGGAUUCGAUGAAGACUAACUUAUGCGAAAGCAUUCACCAAGGAUGUCUUCUUUAAUCAAGAACGAAAGUUGGGGGAUCGAAGACGAUCAGAUACCGUCGUAGUCUCAACCAUAAACUACACCGACUAGGGAUUAGUGGAAGUUGCUAUAUCGACUCCAUUAGCACCUUAUGAGAAAUCAGAAGUCUUUGGGUUCUGGGGGGAGUAUGGUCGCAAGGCUGAAACUUAAAGGAAUUGACGGAAGGGCACCACCAGGAGUGGAGCCUGCGGCUUAAUUUGACACAACACGGGGAAACUUACCAGGUCCGGACAUAGUGAGGAUUGACAGAUUGAAGUUCUUUCUUGAUUCUAUGGUUGGUGGUGCAUGGCCGUUCUUAGUUGGUGUAGUGAUUUGUCUGGUUAAUUCCGUUAACGAACGAGACCUCGACCUGCUAAAUAGUAUGACGUAGGCUCUGUCUAUGGACAUGACUUCUUAGAGGGACUGUCGGUUUUUAGCCGAAGGAAGUUCGAGGCAAUAACAGGUCUGUGAUGCCCUUAGAUGUUCUGGGCCGCACGCGCGCUACACUGAUACGUGCAUCGAGCUUACAACCUUGGCUGGGAGGCCUGGGUAAUCUUUGAAAAGCGUAUCGUGCUGGGGAUAGAUUAUUGUAAUUAUUAAUCUUCAACGAGGAAUUCCUAGUAAGCGCGAGUCAUCAACUCGCACUGAUUACGUCCCUGCCCUUUGUACACACCGCCCGUCGCUGCUACCGAUUGAAUGCAUUAGUGAGCUUGAGGGAUCGUUUAGCUUGAGGGUCAAACUUCGAGUUAAGUGAGAACUCACGCAAACUUGCGCAUUUAGAGGAAGCAAAAGUCGUAACAAGGUU
rnacentral:rRNA from 1 species